GAGGUGAUCCAGCCGCACUGAGCCAGGAUCAAACUCUUGGACGAACGCUGGCGGCGUGCUUAACACAUGCAAGUCGAACGGAGAGAGAUGGGAGCUUGCUCCUAUUGAUCUUAGUGGCGAACGGGUGAGUAACGCGUAACCAACCUGCCCUUCAGUGGGGGAUAACAACGGGAAACCGUUGCUAAUACCGCGUACGAUUUCCGAGUGGCAUCGCUUGGAAAUGAAAGGUGGCCUCUAUUUAUAAGCUAUCGCUGAAGGAGGGGGUUGCGUCUGAUUAGCUAGUUGGAGGGGUAACGGCCCACCAAGGCAAUGAUCAGUAGCCGGUCUGAGAGGAUGAACGGCCACAUUGGGACUGAGACACGGCCCAAACUCCUACGGGAGGCAGCAGUGGGGAAUCUUCCGCAAUGGACGAAAGUCUGACGGAGCAACGCCGCGUGAGUGAUGACGGUCUUCGGAUUGUAAAGCUCUGUUAAUCGGGACGAAAGAGCUCUGUGUAAAUAAUGCAGAGAAGUGACGGUACCGGAA
rnacentral:rRNA from 1 species